rnacentral:tmRNA from 1 species
GGGGGUGUCACGGCUUCGACGGGGAGUGCGGUAGUAGGACAGCAAGUAGUAGUCGCCCAAGUGCUACUCAAAAAGGGGCAAAACCAUAAAUGCUAACAAAACAGCAAAAACAGAUGUAGCUCCUGCAACUUUUGCAGCUCCUGCAUUUGCAUUCGCAGCUUAGUUUUUAGCCUGCGACGAUACUGCAUAGUUUGCUUUGGCUGUGCCCGUGUCGUCAUUGACAAAGCCACUGGCAAUAUGUUGUUGUAGCCGACCUAUUGCAACUCAAUACUACACUUCUCAAGUUGGUCUUGCACAAUUGAACCAACUUGACCGUACUCAAUCAACAGUGCUAAACUUGUAGAACACUAUAUAUCAAGCUCUUCGGAAAGGGGUUCGACUCCCCUCACCUCCACCA